CAGCCGCCACGGUAAUACGGAGGGCGCGAGCGUUACCCGGAUUUACUGGGCGUAAAGGGCGUGUAGGCGGCCUGGGGCGUCCCAUGUGAAAGGCCACGGCUCAACCGUGGAGGAGCGUGGGAUACGCUCAGGCUAGAGGGUGGGAGAGGGUGGUGGAAUUCCCGGAGUAGCGGUGAAAUGCGCAGAUACCGGGAGGAACGCCGAUGGCGAAGGCAGCCACCUGGUCCACUUCUGACGCUGAGGCGCGAAAGCGUGGGGAGCAAACAGGAUUAGAGACCCCCGUAGUCCCUGUCUCUUAUAC
rnacentral:rRNA from 1 species